CGGCUUCUGAUGACUUGAUCUCUUUUUUCGAUCAUCUCGAACCUUUUCGAUAUCGAAGAUGGAUCAGAGAAGGAUGAUGGAUGGUGAAGAAAAUUUAGAUGAAAAUUUUUUUCUCUUUGAUUUUUUCAUCAUCCAAAAACCUAGAACAGUUCUAGGUCUCUCACCCAAGAGGAGAAUGGUCUCCUCUUUUAUUCACGCCAAGGAGGAAGGAAAUCC
rnacentral:lncRNA from 1 species